UCAAAUUCGUUCACCAUAUAUAUAAGAUAAUCCUUACCUUAUUUUGUAACUAUCACAUAAUUACAAUUCAGCCCCUCUAGUUUAAUUAAUUACACUUGAUCACAAAAUUAAUUCUUAAUUAAUUAUUGACCAAUAUUAAUUAAACAAAUAUGAUUUCUCCUUUAAUAUAUUAUUCUUAUAACAUAUUAAUAAAUCAUAAUAACCUCUCUCUCUUUAUUUAUUUCUCCAAUCAAGUUGCUUUGGUGAAGGCAACCCAAAAGGACCAUGCACCAUCGGGUCAAGUACAUACCAAAAUAGUUAUGGACUUAGACACUAAUCCAACAGUCUCCCACUUGGAUAAGUCUAAUAACUAUUCUGCGUAUGACUUCAGAUCCCGAUCUGCAAUCGUAGCUUUCCAAAGCCGCUGUCAACUCUGAUCAUAUCAAAUACGCGUGUCCUUAGAUAAGGGAUCAUAUAUUCCUCCAUUCUAGAUAUCAUAUGAGAUAUGAUUUCAAAUCAUUCUCUUUGUACUAUAUCUCGAUUUCCGAUUUAUGACGACUGACUAAUUGAACAAAUCAAAUUAGCCCUAGCCCGGCCGAGCAUUUACGUUUGUCAUCACUAAACCAUCGAGGGGCCCAAAGAUAUCGCUUUUAUCCUACUUUGGAUAAAAGGAACGGAUAAACUUUGAUACAAUGCUUGCUUGCACUCACGCACCGAAUCACACACAACAAUAUGUUUUAUAACACCAAGUUACUAGUGCGUUUACAUAUUAUCAAUGUGCAACCGAUUCGCAAGAUACAACUCACACAUCUCGGUUUCAAGAAUAUAAGAUGUUAUCGUCUCACCAAUCACUCGUGAUACAAUUCAUGGAGUGAUCCAAGUGAGCGUGGGUUUAAUCCAAUGCUCAAAUCAUAUUCAUAAGCACUCAUGAACGUUGCAGCAAACAUUUGCUUAUGUCUAAUACUCUUUUAGACAAUCCACACACCAAUUCACGACAGUCUUCAUUCAUAUCUACUUCCAACAUAUGAACGACUGUGGCCCGUUCGAAUAAUUCGAUUAUUCUUAAUAAACUCAAUUAUUCUGGAAGUCAAAACAUGCAAAUGUGAAACACAAGAAUAAUACUAAUCCCAUAUGGCCUCAAACCUUUGAGUAUAAAUAAAACACCUUUUAUUUAUCACCAUAUUGAUUACUCAUUAUUUGUCGUUUCGGGUAAUCAACUUCUUACUUGAAUUACAACACUUGUCCCAUGCUCCUAGCAUGCACACAAUGUUUACCUAUGGUUCUUACUUUGUGAAAUAGAUCACAUUGAACACAUUUCCAAUCAUUCUCAUUUCACAACUCCAAAUCCUUUUUCAUAAGUGAAAGAAUAUCAAAUUCUUGCUACUUAUAGAAUAUGCUAGAUUCUAACAUUCUAUGCAACUAUCCUUUCGUAAUGUCACUGCACCAAAGUCACAAAGACUAUUGCCAAUGAUAUUACAAAGUCCUCUAUCGGAGAUUGUUACAAGACAAUUCCAUAGACGUGAUGUCUCUCACUCAAAGUACAUUCUUUGAACAUCCUUUUGCAUAGAAGUUUCUAAUCUAGUCAUAGAUUUCUCAAUAUUCAAUUCCCAAUAUGGACACACUUCCAUAUGUUCCAUAUGACAACUCAUUCUUAAUAGAAUCUUAUCUAUUCGUAAUGAUGUCGAUAUGGUCCAUCCAAUAUGGAAACAUUUCCAUAUUUUCCAAUACUAUACUUCCAACUACUCACAAGCGACCAAUCCUCGUCGAACUUUGGAUUGUCCUUUGAUAGUUGUUUAAUUAUUUUAGUCAAAACCAAUUCUAGUCCCUUUUCCCUCUAAAUGCGCUCGACAUUUGGAAAAUUUUAGAAUGGUCAAACAUUAAAGCAUUUGCAAUCGAUCCUAUACCCGAAGCGUAUGGGACACGACGCAUAAUGUUUUAUUUGCUAUGUUCUCAAAAUUCGAAUUGUGAAGAGGGAUGCCGUAAUCAUAAUCGAAAUUUUAAGAACACACUAUGUACCUUUGACUAAAUUUAUUAACAUUUCUCAACCUAAUCCUUUAGAUUUGAAAUGAAGCAUAAUAUUCUCUCCCUUAAUUAUAGCAAAACAACUUUUCAACUCUUACAACUUUGCAAAGUAUGACUCUUGUUUUCUAUAAUUAAUAUUGCUAACCUUGCAAUACUUUCCUUAAUAAUCAUACAAUCAUAACAUUUAUGCUCCCACUAUCAUGAUGAUUAUUAUAAAACAUAACACUUAUGCUCCCACUAGCUUCGACAUGUAUUCAUAAACAUCUUAACUUUCAGAAAACAAUACUUAUUGAAUUUCUUAAGUUCAUGUUUCUAAUACUUAGUGCUUUGAUAAUCCUUUAUCAAUGCUUCUUGAACUUAUACACCUUUGCCUUCGAUAGUUCAUAUGUGUGUCUAAACAAUUAAGACUAAUUGCCAAACCUCACAAUUCAAAUUAUGGAAAGGGAUGCCGUAACCAUAAUUGAAUUCGAGAAUGCAAUUUUACAAUCACUAUCUUCUUAAAAUCUUUCUUAGUGAAAGCAUUUCCUCACAAUCAUUUUCAUGAAGGAGGAAAUCUUAUGACACUUAGAUUUAAACGGUGUAUGUGUUCCUAUCCAUGUGAAUUUGUUAAAACCAAAGUUUACGACAAAUUCAAACUCAUAUGGACCGAACUUUCUUAAUCUUGAUUUCUUGCCUUAUGGUAGCACAGCUGCCCACCAUGUCUUCCAAGUAGUUAAGCAGCUCACCUUUUCCUAUCAAUGUACCUUUCAUUGAUUAAGGUGCUUUGCCUUUUAUGCGUUCAAAAUGAGAACUCAUAGAACUCACAUGCAUAAUUAACUCGAUUGGAUUGGCACAGAAUCAAAAUAAUGUCAACACGAUAGGUUGUAAACCUCAACUCGUGUGCUAGUGAUGAUCGAUAAGGUUUAUUUGAUUUGUUCUUGAAACCUUUCAAGACCAUUAAGACUCCCACUGACUCCUUGACAUAUAAGAUUCUCUUGUCAAUAACCAUUUCUUGACAAACAAAUAUUCAAGAGUUAGUGUAGCUUUUAUCAAAACACUUCAUAAAUUGGUCCUAGUUGGUCUUUGUCUUAUCCAAGACAUCACAACUUUCCACAUUUAAUGAAUGUUAUAAACCUUCUUAAUACCUUUCACUCAAUGUCACAAUCUUAACUUUAAGACUUGUUAUUGGAACGAAGUAUGAUUGACUUAUUGAUUUAACCAUUUCUUCAAUUCUUGAUUCCUCUUCUUAGACAUACAAUUGUACUAAGACUCACUUAGAGGAUCAAUUGAGAUAUGGUUCUUAAUCAUUAAGACCUAUCAUAAAGCAUAAAAGGUACUCUCCCUUCUUCUUAGAAUGGAGAAACUUUUAUCUUUCUGCCUACUUGAUUCUUCUUAUUCGUUCUGCUAUUGAUUUAAACCUUUUCAAUCAAUUCAGAAUUACACUUAAUCUUAUAAGUAUAAUCAUAUUUACUAAACCUUUAGUAAAUCAUGACGAAUAUCUUUGUUACUCUUAUGGUGGACUUGAUCAACACGCAACUUUGUGUACUCGAUCUCCUAGUCCUUCACUUGACACUUUGUCAAUGAAUUAGUCUAAUUUCCAAAUAUGAAAUUUCUCAUUCAUCGUGCAACCAAGUUGCAUGAUUCCAAGUUUCUGUCCAAUUGAAACUUGGGCGAUGAGAAACUCUCCCUAUUUGGUAAAUUCUCGACUUUCCAUAAAUAACAUAAUAAGAACCAAAUCCAUUAUUGCUAAUAAUAGAAACAUUUUAACAUCAAUUUUUCAUACACGCCAUUGUAAGGAUAAAUAAAUAAAAUUUAAAAUCAAAAUUUAUUUUAUUGCGGAAAAAUUUGUCCUUACAAUGCAAUUCAUUGAAAAACUUAUGCUAAUACAUCUUUCUUAGCAAUCUAAUUCUAACUCUAAGUAGUAGCUCAAGAAUCUAAUCUUCGAGAAAUGCGAUCGAAAUCCAUUCCUUCACGGUUAGAUUCUGCUCACUUCUUCCCUUAAGCUUCCUUUCUUUUCUUCGAUCCUACAAAACAUCAAUUGUAAUCUUAUCACAUUAUGUAUUAAGAAUCUAGAAUAGAAGCUUAAAAGAGUUAGUUAAUGGAUUUUACCUAUAUUAGAGCCAUACGUUUCGACUCUCCCAUCUCUUAGAUCUCUUAGGUAAAUGGGGCAGCUUCGUCUCCAAUGCCCUUUCUCUUGGCAAUAAAAGCAAAUUGACUCUUUUGGAACAUGACAUGGAACUACUUCAGACAUUGCCUUUCUCUUAUGAUCAAACUUUUCGAUCAUAGCAUGUCUUUCGUUGCCAUUGUCUAUAUCCAUAGAGGUCUUGAAGGCAGAUUCACCAAUCAACUUUGCUUUUCUAUUGCGCCAAACCAUUGCUGAUUCAGCAGCAAUAAGCAUAUAGGUGAGAUCUAUAAGGGUCACGUCGCAGUUCAUCAUAUAGUACUCUCUUACGAACUCACUAUAUGAGUUAGGAAGUGACUGAAGAACCCAAUCAACAGCCAUUUCCUCACAGACAACGGAUCCCAACAUUCUUAACCUAUCAAUGUGUGACUUCAUCCCUAGGACGUGUGCACACACCGACUUUCCUUCUUUAUGUUUACUUGCCAAAAGGGCUUGAGUGAUCUUGAACUUUUCAAGCCUUUGAACUUGUGGGUUAGGGAGAAUAAUUGGAGGAGGUGGAGGAAGUGAAGCAUGAUUUCUUGUUCCUCGAUCGAAUCGUGGAAUAUCAUCUUCAUGUGGAAUGCUUGUUCCACGGGAUUUGGGAAGACCAUAGUUGUCGAACUUUGACAUCUACAAAACGGGAGAAAACGAAUUCAAGUUAGUUGAUUGAUUGAGUCCUUAGUAAAUCACCCAAAUGAGAUACUAAGGCUAGGACCCAACACAAUAUUCUACAACUCGGGAGAGGGAUGCCGUAACCCAAAUUGCAGAACAUUUGAAGGUAAGUGAAUGACGAUUCACUAAUUUCCACCAUGAAAAACGAAAAAGAAAUUUAAGUUUUAAAUCUAUGAAAACUCCUAGAUCCUUUGAGAUUCAUUGAACAUUUCAAUGGCAUGUUUAAAUCUCGAUAUGCCCCUCUUGUUUGUGACUGGGAUGCCGAGGAUCACAAAGCGGGUGUGAAUAACCAUGCAAACUUACAUGGUGCCCUCACAUGUUACAGUCACCUAUUCGAUGUGCCGGUAAACCACACACGCUCCACCGAACUAUGACAAACAUUGAGUCACCCUUUGCUACCUUUGCUUAGAACCAUUUAGUGUGCCGGUAAACCACACACGCUCCACUAACGUCUUCGCAAGGGCACAAAGUGUAAUUUCAUGGAAUUGCAUCAAUUCACUUUUGCCUAAGUAACUAAGAUUGGGAAUUUUAUGAAAACAUUUAGUUACUUUAAUAAUUCAUUAUACUUAUAAUGGAAGGUUUCGUCCUAUCCUACCCGUUCGGCUAACGACCCUCCACUAGUCAAGAGUGCGGUGGGUAAGAGUGGAUACCCAUUCAAUCGCCAUUUUAUAGGCAAUUUCCUUAAACACCCCUUAUAGACCAGCUUCGUGAAUGAGGCCUACUAACGGUAAGACUGACUUUUACUCAUACAUAUAUAUAAUGUUAGACUUUUAAUGUUAUAUAUAGUAUAGGGUGUAUUUUACACUUUUAAAAUACUAGGUGGUCAAAUUUAACAAUUAUACUUUUAAUUCAAUUAAAUUGUAAACCAAAACUUUUAUGGAUUUAUUAAACCUCUUUUAAUUAUACACCUUAAUUAAUUAAUAAAACCAUAAGGGUGUGAUUUGAACUUUUUCAAAACAAUACUAGAGUUUUAGAAUUUAACAUUCCUAAUUAAACUUUUAAUCAACUUUUAAAUUCCAAAACUUGAGGGCAAGUUUUGAAACAUUUCAACACAUUAGGGUUUAGAAUUUAAAUAUACAUCAAAAUUAAACUAUUUAAUCAAAAUUUAAAUUCCAAAACUUGAGGGCAAGUUUUGAAACCUUUUUCAAAACAUUAGGGUUUCAACUAUUUAAAUUUCAAAACAACAAAACUUUUGGGUUCAAAUUUAAACUAUAAAACCUAAAGGGGAAAAUAUGAAACUUUUCAUAACAACAAGGAUCAAAUAACAAAUAAUCUAAAUUAACAUUUAAUCACAUAAUUAUCCAUAUUUGAUUUAUUUAAUGAUUUCUUGCAAAACAAUUUAUCAAUUUAAUCAAAAUAAUUAAUCAAUUAUCACAUAAGGAAACAAAUAUUUUAUUAAUUGAUAAAUAUCUUCAAUUAGAUCAAGAAUAUAGUCAAAUAUAUCAUAAAAUCGGAUUUAUAUUGAUCUAAUAUGAUAAGGCAACUAUCCAUAAGCAAAAACAGCAAGAAAUCCCGAAGUUUGCUCCAUCUGACGAGUUGACUCGUCGAGUCAAGCAUGGACUCGUCGAGUCAGCAUGGACUCGGCGAGUUCAGCUAUGGACUCGGCGAGUCCAGCCUCCAGAAACCAAAAAAUCGAAUUUUUCAAACAUAUAAUGCAUCAAUACAAUAGAAACCAGUCUAGGCUCUGAUACCACUGAUGGGUUUUGGUCAUAAGACAUCCUAUGUGCUCAUACAAACCCUAAUGCUUGGAUCUAGGUUUCUCUAUUGUACAUGCUUUGAAUCCAAGACUAUAAACCCUAAUUCUAGCAUAUGGAAAUCAAUAUUAACAUAUAAUUAGGUUUAAGAUAUUACCUUGAUUGUUAUGUAGCAAUAACAAUCCCAAUUCCUCCUUGAAUUGACUUUGGAAGGCUUAGAGUCACAAGUGUCACUCCUCUAAUGGCUUACAAACACCAAGAGCAAAUGGAGAAGGUAUAAAGAGAGAGGAGAGGUAUAAGAAUUCGUCUCUAAGACCUCUUGGGAAGGCAUGGACGAAUUCAUGAGCCUUGGGGGUCUUUAUAUAGGUGUAGAGAUUAGGGUUUUAGUCCUUAUCCUUAUCUAGUUGCUUGCCCACCAAGUAACCAUAAGAUAAGCCUUGAAAACCCUUAUCCUAUAUCCUUUGGACGAUUUCAAGGAUCCUUAUCUCCUUGAAUUCGUUCAACCCAUAUUUAGGAUAACCAUUACCAUAUUUUGUAACUAUCACAUAAUUACAAUUCAGCCCCUCUAGUUUAAUUAAUUACACUUGAUCACAAAAUUAAUUCUUAAUUAAUUAUUGACAAAUAUGAUUUCUCCUUUAAUAUAUUAUUCUUAUAACAUAUUAAUAAAUCAUAUUAUCCUCUCUCUCUAUAUAUUUCUCCAAUCAAGUUGCUUUGGUGAAGGCAACCCAAAAGGACCAUGCACCAUCGGGUCAAGUACAUACCAAAAUAUUUAU
rnacentral:lncRNA from 1 species